CCCGAGCUAGCCAGUAGCAACUCUCUCUGGUCCCUUUCCACACUGUGGAAGCUUUGUUCUUUUGCUCUUUACACUAAAUCUUGUUGCUGCUCAGUGUUUGGGUCCGCACGGCGUUUGUGAGCUGUAACACUCACCACGAAGGUCUGCAUCUUUGCUCCUGAAGCCAGCGCGAAGGUGUGCAGCUUCAGUCCUGAAGCCAGCGAGAUCGCGAACCCGCCAGGAGGGACGAACAACUCCCGCCAGGAGGAACAAACUUCUCCAGACGUGGCGCCGCCUUUAAGAACUGUAACACUCACCGCGAAAGUCUGUAGCUUCGCUCCUGAAGCCAGCGAGACCGCGAACCCACCAGAACAAAGAAACUCCGGACACAUCAUCUUUAAGAACUCACUGGGAGAGUCUGCGGCUUCAUUCCUGAAGUCAGCGAGACCAAGAACCCACCAAUUCUGGACACAAUUGGAUACUAUAAUCGAUAAAGCUUGGCCUUCAGAAAUUCCCAGUCUUGCAAAGGCAAGAGGGAAACACAGCAAGGAGCAAGGUUGUCUGCUGAAUAUUUGCCAAGAGGAAGUUUGGGGAAAUGCCACAUGCAUAGUAAUUCCAAGUAGUAUGAUGUCUCUUCCUGUAACUCUUCAGAUUCUCAAUCCGGUCUCCUGAGAAAGACAAUCACUUAUUCUAUGGGAAGCCUGCUGCCAUGCUAUGAGGACACUCAGGCAGUACUGUGGAGAGUUGCACAUGGUAAAGAACUGAGCUCUCUUGCCAACAUCCAUACACUGAUUUUCUGUCUGAUUUUACUGGAGAGGCAGAAUAAUGUGCUGGAUCUAAACCUCUAAGUUUGAAUUCUGGCUCCACCACAUAUUCAUUGUGUGUCUUAGGAAAAGAGCUUAUUCUGUACAGAUAUAAUCAUUGUUUUUGAUGUGGGGAACCUUUUCCACCUAACGGAUGGCUUCAAAAGAAUCUGAAGCAAAGCUGAGAAUUUAGGAUUUAAGAAUGACCAUUUGGAAAUUUUCUUCACCAGAAAUAAAACUACUGAAGUCUUCCUGAUCUUUGACCGGGAUUUUUUCCUGUCCCUUUUGGAGAUAUCACUCGGAGCCAAUCUCCAAUCAUGCUCAGGACAGCAGCAAAGUAAGCAAGCCCUACAAGGAUCCAGAACCACACGACAGGCUUAUAGAAGUCCAGAUAUUCAAUAUCGGAUCCACCUGGAGACAAAACAAACAAUAAAGCUGAUGAUCCAAUUGCCAUCACUCUCAUGGUCUCUUUGGAACUCAGGAAUGAAAGACCAGUUUGUAUGGGCUCCUUGAAAUCCCAACAGAAGAAUUACUCUGCACUUGCCACUCUUAGCAACAGGGGUCUGCUUACUCAUAUGUCAAAUAAAAGUGUCUACAGAUUCUGUGGCCUCCCAAGUGCUUUUUAGCCCCAGAACACUGAGCACUGAGAGAGAACAGAAAGUGCCAUCGGGAAGGAGCAGAUACCAAUCACUAAGAUGGGGCCUCGCCCUGUUGCCCAGGAUGGAGUGCAGUGGCACCUUCAUAGCCCACCGCAGCAAGACCUCCUCCCACCUCAGCCUCCCAAAUAGCUAGGACUACAGCUGCAUGCCACCAUGUACAGCUAAUUUUUAAAAAUGUUUGUAGAGACAAGAGUCUCACUAUGUUGCCCAGGCUGGUCUUGAACUUCUGGCCACAAGUGAUCUUCCUGCCUUGGCCUCUCAAGUGCUGCCAUUUUGCCACCAUACCCAGCCUAAUCGUCAUGUUCUCUUAUCAUAGAAAAUCUACUUUUCUUGCUCAUUCCCUGGGGACAAGCACUAUUUCAGAGUUCUGGUCUAAACCACCCCAUCAUCACUUGUUCUUAAGAUGCUUCUAAUAAUUAUACUGAUGUUAAGAAAUACAGAUCUAUUACAAUCUGCAUCCUAAACAUUUAUAAAUCACUUUCCAAAAUAUACUUCUUUUCCUUUAAUAACACCACAGUUUGAAGAAUACAUUCUUUAAGUUGCCUUCAGAAAAGUUCAAUAUAACAAUGUAGCUGAACCCUGAUCCUCCUCAGAGCAGAUUUUGCAGGUUUUGCAGAUUGACAUCAAAUAUUAAGUGUGCAUUAUGGAAGGGACGUCUUUGUUUCCUUAUGAGAUUUAUAGCCCAAUAGAAAGAUGAGGAGGUUCAAGUUAGAGCAAUUCCUCUUGCUUUUCCCUGGCAAAAUAGCAAAAUUAAGCGAGAACACUGUCUUUAGGACAUCUAAUAGCAAGAGGGAAAGUUCUAAACAGUAAAUAAUUGAUAUUUCCCAGAUGGGAAACUCACUCAAUAGCUAAUUUUACAGUCAUAAGGUACCCAGAAGCAAAGUCUAAUUUUGUGUACUCUAUUGGACUAUAUGAGGCAAUUCUUUUCCAAGAUCCUUUAAAAAAAUUCACAAUUUCUGUUUUUCCAAAGACUCUUGCAAAGGGCACACAUCUGCUACCCAGCCGUUGCCACAUCUGCCCCCCAAUCCACAUUCUCAUUCCAAAAACACUCCCUGGACACAAGGACCUGGAAUGUAAAGAUUACAGUACUAGAAACAGGGUAUCAUAGCUUCACAAAGACCAACACAGCCACAAAAAUAUAUAAGUUAAGGAGAUAGUGAUGAAUCAGCAAAAAUAGUGUCAAUUUAUCUUACUCAGCAUCUGUCAUAUUAAUCACAUCAAAUUCUUAUGCUAAUUAUAAUUAACGUAUAUUUCUAUAAGUUUGUAUUAUUUCCUCUGUCAAAUAAAAAAAAAUUAACAGAUUUGAAGAUGGGUAACAAUAUAAUAAAAGCUAGUAAAAAUAAAGUUGUUUAUUUGAUUAUUCUUAUUAGCACACAGCUAUCAUUCUCCUAUUCUCCUAUGAUACUAUGCCAUGACUCUGAAUUUUUCAUCUUCUACAAAAUGAUAAAGAAAAAUAUUUUUUUCCUAAGCUGGUUUAUACAAUGGUCACAAAUAUAAUAUUGUUUAGGACUCCACCCACAUUCAUUUUUAUUUAUACUUUUUGUAUUUUUUUUGGUCUCAGAUCAUGAGGGCCACAUACUGAAUUGACACUGUUAGUUGUUUAAAAUAACACUGAUAUGGUUUGGGCUGUGUUCCCACCCAAAUCUCAUCUUGAAUUGUAGUUCCCAUAAUCCCCACCUGUCAUGAAAGGGACCCUAUGGGAGGUAAUUGAAUCAUAGGAGUGGUUUCCCCCAUGCUAUUCUCAUGAUAGUGAGUAAGUUCUCAUGAAAUCUGGUGGUUUUAUAAGGUUCUCAUUCUUCUUCUCCCUGUCACUAUGUGAAGAAGGACAUGUUUGCUUCCCCUUUUGCUAUGAUUGUAAGUUUCCUGAGGCCUCCCCAACCAUGUUGAACUAUGAGUCUAUUAAACCUCUUUCCUUUAUAAAUUACCCAGUCUCAGGUAUGUCUUUAUUAGCAGC
rnacentral:lncRNA from 10 species